rnacentral:tRNA from 2 species
GGUCCUAUAGCUCAGUUGGUCAGAGCACCUGACUCAUAAUCAGGGAGUCCUUGGUUCAAGCCCAAGUGGGACCAC